GACGUAGGAGGCGAGCGUUGUCCGGAUUCAUUGGGCGUAAAGAGCACGCAGGCGGUUUGGCAAGUCGGAUGUGAAAACCCGAAGCUCAACUUCGGGCCUGCAUCCGAAACUGCCCGACUAGAGGUAGGUAAGGGAGAUCGGAAUUCCUGGUGUAGCGGUGAAAUGCGCAGAUAUCGGGAAGAACACCCGUGGCGAAGGCGGCUCUCUGGGACGGUACUGACGCUGAGACGCGAAAGCGUGGGGAGCGAACAGG
rnacentral:rRNA from 1 species